UGAUGCACUGUUUGGAGGCCAUCAGCUGAAAUCGAGUACAUGAGAGAUGCACUUGGUUCAGCUAUUGCAUGGCCAAUGGAUAAGUUGGUCAUCUUUUGAUCAGUUUAAGAAACUGAGGGGAAUGAAGUAACUUUGGUCCAUGUUAGCUAGUUUUAAUUAAGUUUAAGACAGAGCUAAUCAUCAACUUAUGACUUGUGUUAUGUAUUUUAUUUUGGAUUAGAACUUCUGUUAUGUAUGAUGAAUGAUUAUGUGAACUUUUACUCUUAAGGAUAUGGAAUCAGACUUUAUGUGAAAUGAUUUUUAUUUC